UACGAAGGGGGCUAGCGUUGCUCGGAAUCACUGGGCGUAAAGGGUGCGUAGGCGGGUCUUAAGUCAGGGGUGAAAUCCUGGAGCUCAACUCCAGAACUGCCUUCGAUACUGGAGAGCUCGAGUCCGGGAGAGGUGAGUGGAACUGCGAGUGUAGAGGUGAAAUUCGUAGAUAUUCGCAAGAACACCAGUGGCGAAGGCGGCUCACUGGCCCGAUACUGACGCUGAGGCACGAAAGCGUGGGGAGCAAACAGGG
rnacentral:rRNA from 1 species